rnacentral:rRNA from 1 species
AGAGUUUGAUCCUGGCUCAGAAUCAACGCUGGCGGCGUGCCUAACACAUGCAAGUCGAACGCGAAAGGGGCUUCGGCCCUGAGUAGAGUGGCAAACGGGUGAGUAACGCGUGGGUGACCUACCUUCGAGUGGGGGAUAACGUUCCGAAAGGAGCGCUAAUACCGCAUGAAGUUCCGGGUUUGAACAUCUGGAAACCAAAGCCGGGGAUCGCAAGACCUGGCGCUUGGAGAGGGGCCCGCGUCUGAUUAGCUAGUUGGCGGGGUAAUGGCCCACCAAGGCGACGAUCAGUAGCCGGCCUGAGAGGGCGGACGGCCACACUGGGACUGAGACACGGCCCAGACUCCUACGGGAGGCAGCAGUGGGGAAUUGUUCGCAAUGGGCGCAAGCCUGACGACGCAACGCCGCGUGGGGGAUGAAGGUCUUCGGAUUGUAAACCCCUGUCGAGCGGGACGAAUGACUCACGACCCAACACGUCGUGGGAAUGACGGUACCGCUAAAGAG